UACGUAGGUGGCGAGCGUUGUCCGGAUUUACUGGGCGUAAAGGGAGCGUAGACGGACUUUUAAGUGAGAUGUGAAAUACCCGGGCUCAACUUGGGUGCUGCAUUUCAAACUGGAAGUCUAGAGUGCAGGAGAGGAGAAUGGAAUUCCUAGUGUAGCGGUGAAAUGCGUAGAGAUUAGGAAGAACACCAGUGGCGAAGGCGAUUCUCUGGACUGUAACUGACGCUGAGGCUCGAAAGCGUGGGGAGCAAACAGGAUUAGAUACCCGGGUAGU
rnacentral:rRNA from 1 species